UACGAAGGGGGCUAGCGUUGUUCGGAAUCACUGGGCGUAAAGCGCACGUAGGCGGAUUGUUAAGUCAGGGGUGAAAGCCUGGAGCUCAACUCCAGAACUGCCUUUGAUACUGGCAAUCUUGAGUCCGGAAGAGGUAAGUGGAACUGCGAGUGUAGAGGUGAAAUUCGUAGAUAUUCGCAAGAACACCAGUGGCGAAGGCGGCUUACUGGUCCGGUACUGACGCUGAGGUGCGAAAGCGUGGGGAGCAAACAGG
rnacentral:rRNA from 1 species